GUGAAAUGCACAAAAUUUUUAAUUCAUAAUACUUCAUACAAUACAACAAAAGCCCACAUAGUCUUAAUACAUUAAUUUCUUAUGUAAUGAUACUAUUAAUAUGUGUUUGUACCUAUGACACUAGCAAAAUUCCAUCAAUUCCCUUUACAUAAAUUACAUCUACUUAGCAAACAUUGGGGCCAAACCCCACAAACCCAUUUGCCCCAUCAAAAGAAAUCUGAAUUCCCUCUUGUUGAAUGUUCCCUAUGAUGGAUAGUCCUGAAGGAGAUGCUGCAAAUGCAAAACAAAAUGUCCCCACAUCAUCCACUGGAAUUAAAAAGUUCCUUGCUGGAAGGGUCAGGAUUGGCCCGCCCGAAAAGUAGAAUGACACGGUUGGGACCCGAACUGACACGAACCCGAAUAGGUUAUAACAAGUAUCAAAUAUGGAAACACCGGAUGCCCGAGGGAGGUUUCCGGUUUGUGCGAUAAAAGCAUCUCGGAACGCCAUGUAAGCCACCGAAGGAAGCCUAGUCACAGCGGUCCCGGUGUCCAUAACAACACCUCCAUUCCCCAUUUCACUCAGCUGAAAAACGUCUUCUGAUAUGGGCACCUUCAUGCCUCCGACUCCAAGACCCGAAAGCCCGAUGUAAUAGAAGCUUGGGGCCCGUGGGUUACGGAUCAAAGGAAUCCAAGCAGCACCCACUGGCAUUGCUCCACGCCCGAAUUCUAAUGAUCCAGAUGAAUCGGUUCCCCGACUCACUAAACAGUAACUAAAUGCACCACCUGUCUGACCACCCAAUUGGCCUACAAGCGAUAAGGAUCCACCUCCAAGGCCUAGUAACCCGGCUGCUCCAAUAAACAUGCCACGGUUGCUGUGCCCGCACCCGAUGGCAACGUUUCGGACGACAGUCCUCCCGAAAGUUAGCGUUUCGAGGGCAAGGGUCCCCUUGGUGUACGACCCAUCACCAUACAUCACCUCAUACCGACAACGACCCGCAUGGCAACCCGAGUUCUCAACUCUGUCACAAACCGCAGAGCUACAAGAGACCCCUAUAAACGAUGCGGAGUUACCCGGGUCAAAUACCGGGUCGGUUUGGCGGUAACACUGAGUGCAUGGUUGACACUGGACCCAAACUAUAUCACUACCCGAAUCAAUAACCACGUACUGAUCUUUUGGCGGGCUCCCAACGCCUAUUCUAACAAAAUAUUCUCCGCUACCUUGAUUCAUACCGGAAACCACCUCCGCCCCAAAGUCCCCCUCUGUAUAACUGGCGGUGCCGGAACCUGAAAGGCGACGGACGAGGCUUGCCACCCUCUUCAUGUCUCGGUGUAUGCGCGCAUGAAAAGGGUUGGAGUUGUUGGAAGUUAUCUUGUCUCUAUGGAGUAGUUUUAGCUUCCAUUUCACGUCAGUUUGAGUUCCAUUUUGAUUCUUGAACGGUUCUUGAUAUUGGGAUGUUUUGGUAGGCUUAGUUUUAGUUUCUGUGAUUGCUUCUUUGAUGUUCAAGAAUUGAAAAUCAGGGUAUGAGAUGGUUUUGGCUGUGGUGCUACACUGUAGUAGUAGCAGCAGGAUCACCACUGGGGCAAGUGGUUGAAGGGAUAGCAUGUUUGUUUGUGUUUUUGGUUCUUUGCUCAAUGGGUUGUGGUUUUUGGGAGGAGAGGGUGGAGUGGAG
rnacentral:misc_RNA from 1 species